rnacentral:rRNA from 1 species
GACGAACGCUGGCGGCGUGCUUAACACAUGCAAGUCGAGCGGUAAGGCCCUUUCGGGGGUACACGAGCGGCGAACGGGUGAGUAACACGUGGGUGACCUGCCCUCAGCUCUGGGAUAAGCCUGGGAAACCGGGUCUAAUACCGGAUAUGACUCCAUGACGCAUGUUGUGGGGUGGAAAGCCUUGUGCGGCUGAGGAUGGGCCCGCGGCCUAUCAGCUUGUUGGUGGGGUGANGGCCUACCAAGGCGACGACGGGUAGCCGGCCUGAGAGGGCGACCGGCCACACUGGGACUGAGACACGGCCCAGACUCCUACGGGAGGCAGCAGUGGGGAAUCUUGCGCAAUGGGCGAAAGCCUGACGCAGCGACGCCGCGUGAGGG